GUCUAUGGCCAUACCUCCCUGAACACUCCCAAUUUAGUCUGAUCUUGAAGCUAAGCAGGGUCAGGCCUGGUUUGUACUUGGAUAAGAAGUAAUCAAUAAAUGUUGCUUAUUGUUAUUACUAGAUGUGUGGAGC
rnacentral:rRNA from 1 species